rnacentral:rRNA from 1 species
GACGAACGCUGGCGGCGUGCUUAACACAUGCAAGUCGAACGGAAAGGCCCUGCUUUUGUGGGGUGCUCGAGUGGCGAACGGGUGAGUAACACGUGAGUAACCUGCCCUUGACUUUGGGAUAACUUCAGGAAACUGGGGCUAAUACCGGAUAGGAGCUCCUGCUGCAUGGUGGGGGUUGGAAAGUUUCGGCGGUUGGGGAUGGACUCGCGGCUUAUCAGCUUGUUGGUGGGGUAGUGGCUUACCAAGGCUUUGACGGGUAGCCGGCCUGAGAGGGUGACCGGCCACAUUGGGACUGAGAUGCGGCCCAGACUCAUACGGGAGGCAGCAGUGGGGACUAUUGCACAAUGGGCUGAAGCCUGAUCCAGCACCGCCGCGUGCGGGAUGACGGCCUUCGGGUUGUAACCCGCUUUCGCCUGUGACGAAGCGUGAGUGACGGUAAUGUGUAAAGAAGCACCGGCUCACUCCGUG